AGGGGAGGGCUCAUCAGUCAAAGAUUUUUUUUUUAUGGAGAAUUGAUGGUAUUUUUUAUGAAUUUUAUAACAAACACAAAUAUACUUGACCAUUAACGAGUACUGCUCCAUUGUGAGUCCAUGCAAUGCAACAUCCCAUUUUUCCUUUGUUUCAAAAAUUAUGUUUUAAAAUUUUAAUUACCAAUACAUUAUUUUUUGUAAUUAACUAUUUUCCAUAACUUUGACCCAAAAAAGCUAUUUCCCAUAACUUUGACAAAAAAACUAUUUUUCAUAACUUUUAACCAACAUAAUUUUAAUAAAUACAAUUAUGUUUUUGGAACUUUACAGUUUACUAUUUUUCAAUAAACACAAUUAUAGAAGAGAAGACCAAUGAACCAGCUUCUGGUCUCCCUCUGAUCUAGGCUGAGAUUCUUGAUACCAACUGCUUAAGCGCACCUCCUUUCUUCUUUCCUGCNNNNNNNNNNNNNNNNNNNNNNNUGCUGAAGAAAGAUAAAAAUCAGAAUCAAAAGGUGAACUUGUUACGAUAAUUUAGCCUCAAAUGGUCUCAAAGCUGUCCUGUAAGGAUCGGACAAACCACCUUAAAUUUUCAGGGAUUUUUCACUUUCAUCUACACGUAUAUGGAAGAGACAAAGCAAUUCUUUGAAAUACAGAGAACAAACACGGCUUGUGAGCAAGAUCACGUUGUAAGGCAUGCUAGAAUCAGGGGUUGUGAAAGGCACUAACGAUUUUUCCUUUGUUUAAAAAAUAUGUUUUAAAAUUUUGAUUAUCAAUGCAUUAUUUUUUGUAAUUAACUUUUUCCCAUAACUUUGACCACAAAAACUAUUUCCUAUAACUUUGACAAGAAAACUAUUUUCCAUAAAUUUGAUCCAAAAAGAUUUAUUUCCCAUAACUUUGAAAAAAAAAUUCCUGUAACUUUUAAUCAACAAAAUUUUAAUAAAUGCAAUUAUGCUUUUUGAAGUUUACUAUUUUCAAUAAACAAAAUUAUGUUUUUUUUUAAUUUAUAGUUUACCAUUAAAUAAUGCAUUAAAAAUAGAAAAUUUUGAAACAAUUUUUUUGACACAGUUUAGUUUCUUCCAUAAUUCAAGGUAAGAAAAACAAAAACAAAACAUGUCCACAAAAAAACAGGAAACAUGUUACUUCCACUAAAGAAAAUGAAAUUUUCUUCACCGUACUACUUUCCAACCUCAACUAAACAAUAGUUUAAAAUGUUACUUCAUCCGUUUCAUAUUAGUUGUCUCUUUAGAGUUAAAAUUUUGUUUCGUUUUGAGUGUCGUAUUAUGUUUUCAAUGCAAAAUUUAUUAACAAUAUUUUCCAUUUUAUUUUUCUAUUGGUUGAAAUAUAGUUAGGUGUAUAAGUAAUGAUGAUUUAUUUUGAAAAUAUGCAAAAUUAAAUAUUUUCUUGAUAUGUGUACAUAAACCUAAAAUGACAACUAAAAAGAAACUGAUAGAGUAUUUACCAACUGAAAAAUAACUUUGCGGAAGAGAUGGUGAUGGACCGAUGGUGGCCAUUGGCGUUUGACAGGAAAGAAGCUCGACUCUUGAAAAGGAAAUGCGCUAACACUUUUGGAUUAGGCAAAGACUUCAACAACAGUUCCUCGUUGAAUUCUUCGACAUCUUUUGGCUAAACCAAAAAAGCUUGUAAGAGUAACAAAGCAGCACAUAGAUUGAUAGUUUGGCCAUAGACGGAUGGAUCAACGGAUGAUAUAAUGAGUCUAGUACCGAUCAAUUAGCUCCGACGCAGACUUGAUCCUGUGAGGCCUAAUAGCUGCAUGGGUAGUUAUAUAAAAAGACUGAUGCUUUGUUAUUCUGGAACUCAGUUCUGUGACCAAACAAAGUUUAUGUUUGGUUAUUUUGUCGAACAACUUAUGUGGGUCUGUAAAAACGAGAACUCUACGGUAACUCGCUUGAGGUAAGUGUUAUCACCGGCCUCCGGCUAAGGAGUUAUAUUCUUUUCUUUAUCGUUGUAGUACACUGAACAUUAUAAGUUUAAAAAUGAUUUUUUCUUCUUUUAAACAUUAUAAUUUUCUACCAUUUUUUGUUUAUUUUAUUUUAUUUUCUGCUAAAACGAUGAUUUUUAAAUUUUUUAGUCUUAAUGCUUUUUUUGUUAACAUAUUAAUCAAAUACACAAAUGAAUCAAUUGAAAAUUUUGACAUUUGUGAACAUAAAAUCCAUUGAAACAUGGAAAAUUUUGAAAUAAAUGGCAAUCCAAAUCUGAAGAGUAUUAACUUUUGACAAAAGAAACUUUGAAUCAAAAGUAAAAUGUGACAGUACACAAUUGAAUAAUGAGAGAUGGCAAUUUAUACAUCUACCACUUAAAAUAUACUAGAUAUAUAAUAUAGUAAACAACAUAUUAAUAUAAAAACAGAAAAAUUAAAUUAUUUUAUAAUAUAAUUCUAUUAAUUAUUAUAAUUUAUAAUUAAUAAAUUUUAUAUUCUUUAUUUAUUAUAAUAUUAUAAUUUUUAGACGGUUUAAAAGAUAAUUGUAACGGUUUCAGAGGAUUUAACGACUAAACGACAAUUUAUACAGCUUCACCAUUGACUAAUAACAUAAAAAUCUAAUUUUUAAUAAAAAAUAUAUCUAAAUAUCUGCAUUUUUUCUUCAUUUCAUGUAUCAAAAAUUUGGCAGUUCAAUUAAACGCUGCAGUUGAGAGAGGGUUAAAAAACCAAUAAAGGAGUAACAAGAAGAGUGAUAAAAAAUCUAAAAGCGAAUAUUGAAAUAUCCAAAAGAAUAAAGAAAGAGAAGGAAAGUGAUUUAUUGUCAUAAAUAAAUGGCGAACAAUUAAGGAGAAAAUCGCGAGAAAAGAGGAUUGAAACUAGAGAGCGUGCUUUCGCACUGGUCUUCUCUUUUUUUUUUUCUACACACACCCAAAGAAAAAAGACCAUCAUCUCUCCUCUCUCUCUCUCUCACUUCCUCAUAUAAAUAUUGACCAGUGUCCUGCUCUAGAGAGAGAGAGAGAAACUCGCCGCUUUUACUUUUUGUUGGUCUCUGAAGGUAGCAGUAAGCACUAAGCACAUAUCUGGAGCGCACAAAGGUCAGUCAAAACUGCUCUAUUCAAGCUAUAUACGCUCUCCCUCUUCUAUACGAGGCGCGUGCAUGUUACAGUGUUGUUGAUCGUUUACUUUUUCAUUUUCCAGGCAACGGCUAGUUACUCGGUGUGGGAAGAUCGAUGGAUUACGGAGAAGAUCGGUAGAUUCUAUUUACUUUUUCCUGCUUUAUUCGUUUCUCCUGUGCUCUUGUGAUUUGAUUUGGGUUGUUUGCUUUGUGAUGAUUGAUUUGAUUAGUUUCAUUUCGCCUUCUUCGAUCCUGUGAUCUUCGAUAAGGGUCACAUUGGUGUGAUUCGUGUGCUCUCGACUCUGGGUUUUGAUGAAAUCGCUUAGAUUUGGUCGUGGUUCCUCGGUCAAUGCUGGGUUUUCUGAUUAAUUGAUUUGAGGAUGAAAUAAAUGUGAUUUAAGAUUCGGUUGGGUUUCUUAAUGAAAUGAUUGAUUGGUCAUUUAAUGUUUUUCAUCAAAUCCUCUUUUUUUUUCUCUUGUGAUUUGUUUUUUCAAUCGAUAAACUGCACACAUUGUGAUGUUGUGGGAUAUGAUGUUAGCAAUGUGCUUGCUACUCUAUUUGUAUAGUUUGAGUUGUUUGGUUAGUAGUUAGUACCCGUAGAUUUGUUUGAUCAUUGGGAAAACUUACAGGAUAUGCUUAAGACUCUCCAGUCUUCAUGAAGCUUCCAAGUUUAGUAGAUGGUUAACGUGUUAGUGUACCAUUGGUUUGAUCAUUGUGAUUGUCUAAUUUUUUGCAGUAGCGCCUCAUGGAAUUGGCAAGUUCAGAACUAUGAUCACCAGCCGCAGUCUAAUUUCUGUAAGUUGUUAUAUUAUUUAACUCUGAUUACACUUUGUGACAAGCAUGGCUAAAAUUUUUCACCAAACUCCAGCUGAUGUAACUAUGACGGAAGUCACAUUGAACCAAGAAGAUCACUCAUACAUGUUUGAUGAUCACUCCACCCCUGUCAAGGCCUGUGCCGAGUUGGGUUAUCAUGUCACAACAGGUUUGUGCUUUUUGUUUUCAUCUUAUCAUUUUGAUUUCAGAUGGUUUCUAAUCUAAUGAGUUGUGGGAUUCAGAUGAAACGACCAAGAAGCUAGAAGUGCAAAGUGAGACACGCUCUGCUGUUAAGAGGCGUCGGAUGUUACUAUUCGAUGAUCAGCCUAUGGAAACAUCCCUUUUCAGCAGUGAGAGCUUCUCCUCAAUCUUAAAAUCAAGCGUGAGUACACACAACCAAUACCUCAUCAUUUAGCUAUGCACACUCGGGGGCGCAUUGCCAUAUAUUCUUGAUUACCAAACCCUUUGGUCACUUAUUAGAAUGCAGACCUCUAUGGUACUGUUUGCUGCAGCAGUUAUUAGAAUUUAUGAGCUUAGGAGGUUGAAUUAGAUUCUAAAUACGAUCUUUGAUGCUCUUAUUGACACGUUUCUUCUAUGAAUGUUCAGGCUAGGGAGGAAACAUUUGAUGAGCUUUUGCCUGAAGGAACUCAGCUUAUAGAAGGUUUUUCAGGUUGAGCUCUCGUAAAUUUUUAACAACACAAUCUGGCCAAUGCGUUUUCCAUUCAAACAAAACAUUGUCUCCUUUUCCAGCGGACGCUUCUGCCUCAAGCUUGGACUUGGAGGGCCUUGAUCUUUAUGCUGAAGAGUGGUACGCUGAUUGCUUAAAUGAUGCUGAGACUCCAAUCCUACCUGAUGACUUGUAUGUUUCGAUCUUUCUUUUUGCUUAUUUUUGGUUUAGUAUCCUAUUUGAUUCAUUAACUGAUUACUGUUUGUUGUUUUCUCUUAGAAGCUUUGGUUCCCCUGAUGUCCAAGUAGAUAUUUCAGGUGAGAUUUCUUUGUAUUGACUUUUCUUUUGGUUUCUCUAGUUGUGGCUUUUCUUGAUACAAUCCUUGUGUAUGGUGCAGAGUAUCUAAAUGAGCCACCAGAACCGGAAGCAAGGGAAGUUAGGCGACCUAUGACUCGAUCUUCCCCAAAUGUUAUCUUCAAAGGUAAAACAAACUAUUGAGUCACAAAUGGAUUCUCAUAGUCCACACACUGAUUUUAGCUACAAAAUGAGAAAACAAAAACAUCAUUAUAAUGUUUAAGUUGUGGGGAAAUAGCAGGUAGGAAAUCAUUUUCAAGGCCGGUUCCAAGGCUACCAUCAUCGAUCAUCUAUCCAUUUGCAUUCAUCAAACCAUGUGGGGUUCACGGCGACAUGACUCUCAAGGACAUCAACCAGAAAAUCAGAACACCAGCAGCAAAACCAAAGGAAGACAAACUAGAGCCACCAGUGAUCCAAACAUCAGCAUUCUCUGGGAAACCCGUUGUUGGGAAGACUAAGAUCCGCACAGAAGGAGGAAAAGGAAGCAUCACGAUUAUGAGGACAAGAGGCUAAGCUAUAAGUUAAGUAGAAAGUAUUUAAGGUUUUUCAUUCGCUGCUGAAACUCUAUAAACCUUUUUGCCUUAUUCUCAGAGGCCUUAAAUCUUUUAUUUACCGGAUAUAGUUCCAGUGAAGGGGGCUUUAGGUAAGUACAGCGGCUAAUACUCUUGUCAUGAAUCAUGUUCUUGUUUCGUUUUGGUAUCUGUGGUAAGAAAGUGAAAUCAAGGAGCUGUAAGCCAAUGCGGUAGGAUGUUUUUUGUUUGUAUAAAGUUCUUAAUGUAGCUGAAAACUGAAAUGCCAAAACUCUUGAGUUUAUGUCUCUCAAGUAUCUAAGUGGAUAGUAGCUAUAAUAAAUCUUGUUUCCUUUUAAACUUUGUGCGAUAAAACGAUACAAUUUAUUUGUUUUGGAGCUUUCGGAUUGAAUUCUUCUUAAUCCUAAGUUUAGGAGUAAAGAAACCAAGUCCUUACUAAGCUCUGCAUUUACCUAACAACGAACCUAAGUUUUAUGCACCUAUAACAAUAAUCGAUCCACUUUGGUCAUUUAUUUCUCUGUCAUGUGAGAGUCUCACAGUGAGACCCUCUUUGGCUCUUUUGACAGAAGUCACGUGAAAACAUAUCGAUGUUCUGAAAUCAAUAAAACCAUCAAUAAAUAUCCACACGUCGUAUCUUUUUCAAAUACGAAUUGAUUUGAUAUCAUGUCGAUCUCAUGGAACAGAGGUUGUCUAUGAUCCAUUUUUAUUGGAACACUUCUAUAGUCAUUCGAGUGUAUUGAGAUGUGAAAAUCCUCCAAGUCUGUAGACCCUUUUUGGCUAUUUGGGCCUGGCCCAAUAACAUUCUGAUAAAACUUUCCAUUUUCCUUUUUUCAAGUUCGUCUGAUCCUUGAAAAUUCUGAUGAUGAUCCAAAUGGUUUCGCUCUCCACCUCCGCGAGCCACGCUCACCCACUCCCGUCGGCGCACAACCGCCGUCCGGCGGAGAGAAAUGUUACAGUGCGAUGUGCAUCCUUUUCCCCGCGCGAGCCUAAACAUACGAGUAACGACUCCUCCCUGGCGCUCAGAGAGACUAGGCAGAGAAAAUGGGUGAAGAGCAAGGAGGAGGCGAAGGAGAGAUACUCGAAGGAGAUUCAAGAUGAAAUGAACUCCAAAAUCGCGUCUAGGAAAGCGAUAUCGAUAAUACUCCGAAGAGAGGCCACAAAGGCGAUAAUCGAGAAGAAGAAAGGACCAACCAACUCCAAGAAGCUUCUCCCAAGGACGGUGCUCGAGGCUCUUCACGAGCGAAUCACAGCUCUCCGAUGGGAAUCUGCUCUUCAGGUUUGUAAAGUUCGUCUGCUCUCUCCACUUAUACUUUGUUAAUUUUGGGAUUUGAUUUUCUGUGUAAGGUGUUUGAGCUACUGCGAGAACAGCUAUGGUACAAACCUAACGUUGGCAUCUACGUCAAGCUCAUCGUCAUGCUUGGCAAAUGCAAGCAGCCUGAAAAGGCUCAUCGACUCUUUCAAGAAAUGGUCGGUGAAGGCUGUGUGGUGAAUCAUGAAGUGUACACUGCUCUUCUAUCUGCUUAUAGUAGAAGCGGCCGUUUUGAUGAUGCAUUUACUCUUCUAGAACUUAUGAAAAGCAGUCAUAACUGCCAGCCCGAUGUGCAUACUUACUCUAUCCUCAUUAAGUCGUUUCUUCAGGUUUUUGCGUUUGAUGAGGUUCAGGCUUUGCUCUCUGAUAUGAGAAGACAGGGUAUUAGGCCUAAUACAAUCACUUAUAAUACCCUCAUUGAUGCCUAUGGGAAAGCAAAAAUGUAAUUAGCAUCCUUUUACUGUCCUUUUUGAGUUAUUAUGGUUUAGUUCAAAGCAUGUAUAAGCUGAGAUAGUUGUUUUCUUUUUUGGAAGGUUUGUGGAGAUGGAAUCAACACUUAUCCAAAUGCUUGGAGAGGAUGACUGUAAGCCUGACUCUUGGACCAUGAACUCAACACUUAGAGCCUUUGGUGGGAACGGACAGAUAGAAAUGAUGGAGAAUUGUUACGAGAAGUUUCAGAGCUCUGGGAUCGAACCCAACAUCAGAACAUUCAACAUCCUCCUUGAUUCCUAUGGGAAAACAGGAAACUACAAGAAGAUGAGCGCCGUGAUGGAGUUCAUGCAGAAGUAUCACUAUUCGUGGACCAUAGUCACCUACAAUGUGGUCAUUGACGCGUUCGGGAGGGCAGGAGACUUGAAACAAAUGGAAUAUUUGUUUAGGCUGAUGCAGUCAGAGAGGAUAAAGCCAAGCUGUGUUACGCUGUGUUCUCUUGUGCGUGCAUAUGGAAGAGCUGGUAAAGCGGAUAAAAUUGGAGGAGUCUUGCGUUUCAUCGAGAACUCAGACGUAAGGCUAGACCUUGUGUUCUUUAACUGUCUGGUAGAUGCCUAUGGUAGGAUGGAGAAGUUUGCGGAGAUGAAAGGUGUUCUCGAACUAAUGGAGAAGAAGGGAUUUAAACCUGAUAAGAUUACAUACAGGACAAUGGUUAAGGCUUACAGAAUCAGUGGCAUGACUAGCCAUGUGAAGGAACUUGAUGGUGUGGUCGAGUCCGUUGGUGAAGCUCAAGUUGUGUUGAAGAAGCCAGACUUUUAGCCGAGGAAUAGAGCUUAAAUUUUCUGAUAUAUUUAUAUAUCUAGUAGCCAAGGAAUGUAGUUAGUAUGAGAGUAUUGUAAAUACAUUUCAUUUCGCUUACAAAACUUUGUAACACAAAAAGGAAAAGCAAAAAAGUGAUACAAGUAUAGUUCUUUCCUUUUGUUUGUGAUAUAUGUUUAUAUGUCUGUAUGUCCUGAAGCAGCUAGAUAUGAGAGUUGAAGGCUGUACGCUUCUUUCAGCUGAGUCAAGACUUCUGCAAUAGAUGGUCUGCUAGAUGCAUCUCUCCCCACACAUUUUAUAGCAACAGAAGCAGCUUUUUUCAUGCUCUCUGGAUCAAACGUUCCCUUCAAGACAUCAUCCACAAUCUCAAACGCUCCUGCUUGUAAGUUUGGCCUUGCCUGCAUAUAAGUAGCUCUAUAUUUUAUCUCUGGGAGAUAAUAAAAGGAACACAGUCAUGUGAUUCUUACCCAUAAGACUAAGUUAAAAGAAUCUGGUGAUCCUGAGUGACUUAAGGGUUCUCUUCCACAGAUGAGCUCCAACAGAACCACACCAAAGCUAUAGACAUCACUUUUCUCUGUCAGCUGCAGGGUAGAGUAAUAUCUGGAAUGAAAAGUAUGAUUAAUGAUUAGUUAAUGAAACUGUUUAUCUGUCACGGAUGCUGAGAGAUGGUUACAGUAGAGUUUACUCAGGAUCAAGGUAGCCUGCAGUGCCUUUAACAACAGUAGUAAUAUGUGAUGCAUCUGCUUUUGUAAACUGUUUUGACAGGCCGAAGUCUGAAACCUUUGCGUUCAUAUCCUUGUCCAGAAGUAUGUUACUGCACUUUACAUCCCGGUGUAUAAUUCUUGGCUCACUUCCAUUGUGCAGGUAGUCCAGCCCUUCAUGAACAAGACAAAAUGUUACUAUCUGCCAGAAUCAAAUGUGUUUUUGGUACCAGUGACAGAUGUUGAAGAUGUACCUUUUGCAGCAUCAACUGCAACCUUUAGUCUUGAAACCCAGUUCAAUGAAAGUCUUUUACGACUUGGACCUGCAGAAGCAAGAUAGCACAGAAAGCUAUAGCUUUGAGAGGAAGAUGGCUUUGAAAAAGGAUGAUGAGCAUUAGCUAGAUACUUGGGGAGUUGUAUACCGUAAAGGUGAUCAGCUAAUGAUCCACCAGGCAGAUACUCAUAAACUAGUAUUUGCCGUUUUGGUUCGUAGCAGAAGCCCUCGAAGGAAACUAGAUUUUGGUGGCGUAUCUGUGACAAAAGAUGCACCUACAAGUAGACAGUACAAAGGGAGACAUUAGACCGCAGCACUCGGAUCACUAAAGAUGAAUGCGUUCUUGGCCGUGGGUUCGAAUGCAUGAUAGGAAAGGUUUGAGCGCUUAACCUCGUUGAUGAAAGAAUCAGCUCCAAGUUGAGUUUUAUCAAAUCUCACUUUGACCGCAACUUGUUUUCCAUCAGGUAGUUUUCCAUGGAACACAGAUCCAAAACUUCCGCGGCCAAUCACUUCCUUGAAGUUCCUUGUAGCUGUCUUGAUCUCUUUGUGAGAAAAGAUUCUUGAAGUGUUCCAGUUCUGCAUCUUCAGUUGUUCUCCUGAUCCAGAUUUUGAUAACUAUUAAGAAUCAUAAAAGCCACAAACUAUGUGGGAGCAAAAAAAAGAAAGCAUUUGUUCCCCCAUACUGGUUAUAUCUCUCUCUUUGUUUCUCUGUCUCCUCGUGAAGACCGACAUGAAAACAAAGAUGAGGACGGUGGCAAACAAGGCUCCACCAGAAACUCCUAGCAAGAUCGCUAUACGGUUUUGCUUCUUGUGUUUCUUAUUGGUAGGGAUAGUGACUUGUGGUAUGUCGAUUGUUGAAGACACAUUGUUGCAUGAUGAUGAAGUAAACGAAAGGCAUGGGUUCCCCGUUGUCCUGUAGAAAGCAAAUCAGUAACACUAGAACUCAAGACUAGAAUGGCGGUAAGACAGAAACUAUAUACCUUACUUCCAGAUCCGUCCUGUUAAGUGACUGUGGCAAGGGGCCUACUAAGUUAUUGUUUUCCAGAUUCCUGAGCAGAAGUAAUAGAAAGAGUGAAUCUAGCAAGUACAAGCUACUUCUUUGGUCUAAAUGUUUACUUACAGGAGACGAAGUUUCUUCAGUUUUCCUAAACUUUCAGGAACUGAUCCCUGUAAGCUGUUGUUUUGCAGGUCCCUGCAAGGAAUGGAGAAUGACUUUAGAAUUACCGAAAACAAUUCCAGAAAAUCUCAGUAUAAGAUUACUUACAGAACUUCAAGAUUAAUCAGAUUUUCCAGUUCGGAGCCGAAAGAUUUUAUCUGAUUGAAGCUCAGAUUCCUGGAUAUAUACCAUCAGAAGCUUUUUUAAUACUACAAGAAGACUAAAAAACAUAUAUUUCUUCAAUGUUAUAUGGUUGAGUAUUACAGCUGCUGGAGAUGCUGAAGGCUUCCUACAUUCUGUAUUGCUCCAGUAAGUGAUGUAUUAUGCAAGUCGCUGCAGGAGAACAACUCAGUGAUAACACACAAUCAUACAUAAGACGCUAGAAAUGUUUGAAGGCCUACUUACAGUGUCUUGAGAUCGAGCAAGUCUCCAAAAGUUGGACUAAUGGAUCUCAGGUUGAUCUGUGAAAGAAACCUAGACAACCAGAAGAAGCAAAAUCUGAGCUGAGAUCCAGAAAUGUGAAAAGCAAGGGUUGUCUUACAAUGAUGUAACACGGCUUCCUUCACACUCAAUGUGGUUCCAAGGAAGAGGAGUGCAUGGGUCGUCUUGCCAUCCAAGGUCUUGUCCAGUAAACUGUUCUAUGACUUUAAGCGCCGAAACUGCAAAAGAUAACUUAUAAGGUGAAUUUUUUUGGCUGCUCUAUCUAGGUAGCAAUCAAACAGAGGAUACCUGUGGUAGAAGAAGCUUCUGGAGGGAUUUGGAGAAUUUCAUACACCUCAAGAGCGUUCACCUGAGGAUUGAACUUGAUUUUUUCAAAGGUGAUGUUUAGCUUACUGAUUCUCUUUUGCGUAAAGUACAAAGCACUGGCUUCUGAACUGGUUACUGUAUGCUCAGACUGUUUGACUUCGUUAUUGAUGGUCACACUGAAAGAAGGAGAGAGUGAGAGUAUCCCAGCGAAGUAGAGGAUAAUGUAGUAGUCCCCUAGUGUAUCUAGAGAAAGUGUAUAUGAAAGCCUGUCAUUGCGAGCUAGAAUUCUUGCAGUCUGAAGAACGGUAUCUGGCGGAUUCUCAGUGAUGUUGAAGGAAGACAAUCUUGUGAGUCUGUUGAAGUUCCAAGAGGUGUGAAACGGUGUAAAACUUUGGUCUGGAUCCCAUAUUCGAUCAAAUGGAUCUGAAGGGUACCUGCCAUUCAACAGAUAUCACUUAGUAACAGAUAUCACUUAGUAAGUAUCACUUAGUAAGUUCAACAGAUAUCACUUAGUAAGUUCAACAGAUAUCACUUAGUAAGUUCAACAAAACACAAGAAAGAUCAGAUUUAAAGAGCCUGAGAACUCAUUACCGGAUAGUCCCAUUUGUGUAUCCGCUAUUGAUCCGGUAACUUCUCCUGAGGAUAGCAUUUGGUGAACUCUCCAGGCUGUUUCUGUAAGUACCUAAAGGAAGUGGACGUACUUCUAGAGAAGAGAUAACCGGAAUGCCUCUUCCUUUAACCGCAAGCAAGCAAAGCGAAAGAGAAUCUUUGUUGACCGGCCAAACCAACUCUUCAAUCCACGGAUCUUUGAUUCUGAGAUCAACAGUGCUAGUGAUACUCCUCCCCAAAGAGACGCGAAAUGCUGGAGGCUGGUUCUGGCUAUCAUAGUUUCUAUAAACGAAUGCGGCUCGAAUCAGAACCGAGGACAGGUCCUUCCUCACCGGUAGCUUAUAACACUGGCGACUUUGAGAGUCUGGGAAGAAUCUGAUGGGAACAGUAGAAGUUGAAGAUCCCUCGAUGUAAGUAACGGCAGUAGUGUUACCUGUUUCGAUAUAAUCGUUGUCUGAGACCCAGGAGAUGUUGUAAGCAGCGGUGUAACUUGAGCCGCCACAAGACAAGCUCAAGAAACCUGUUCCAUUACAAAGAUUGAAUAAAACAGUUGAAGGCAAAAGAACAAAAGUAACGGUAAGGACUUGGGACAUGGUCAAGAAUCUCCAUACCAUCUGGAUUGGAGAAGGCAAACAUCCAGAAGCCACUGAGCAAAACCAAAUCUAUCCAGAAGAUCAUCUUCGAAUUUUCUGAGUGAAAUCUGGAGAACAUAUAUUAAAAUUGUUCUAUUGUGUUAUUAGGAUUAUCCUAAGAACUCAUUCUUUAUAUAUAUCAAUGGAUUUGUAUGUGUGAAGGUGUUAUCAAUGAUGAUGAUUCGUAGGUACUUUACUCAGUGGUCAUAAUGCACUCACUAGUAGUAUAUGUAUCAACUAAUAAUCUACAUUAACAAUUUAAGUACAGUGAGUGUUUAUUUAACCUUCCUUACAUAUCACAUAAAAUAGAAGUAUCAUAUAUGAGUAGAAAUUCAAAAGAAAAAGAAAAUAAAAUUUGGUUGCUCAGUUCUUAAGAAUGAUUAUGAGACUGAUGCUUGAGAGAGAAUCUUAAAAAAAGCAAUGAUAUUACGUUUUGCUUGGCUUCAACACUAAUCCUCACAUUGCAUUCUCCUCUAAGCUUUCUUUUAAAGUGAAAAACCUUUCUCGACAAAUUAUUCCCAUAGUAACGUCUCCCUAGUUUUGAAUUUUACUUUUAAUCAAGGCCUGAGAAACAUAAAAUCCUUAUCUCUAAUCGAUUUUUAUCGGGCUUUAUUGACUAUGCAAAUAGUGGAGUGUGAACAAUCUUCAAUGACCUUUCCGGGUUGCAAGUUAGCUACACUUUACAAAGUACACAGAAGUCUUAUUCUUUUCCUUUUAAAGUUGGAACGUCAUUUUUUUUUCUUGAAACUAAAAUCAUUUUACAUUGUUGGUUAAUUUGCUUCAGUAACGUGAUCAUGCCAAAGUAGAAGGAUAAAUAAAUUCUGAUUGAAGUUAAAAAGAGAGUAAAAAGACAUAUGACAUAAAUAAGUUUGUAACUGAAGAAAGAAAACAUUCGGGCAAAAUCCGUUGCAACACCUAAGUGAAAGUGAAAAUAGUAUUAUAGAUCGGGGCUCAAAAACAUGCAAAGACAAACUACAACUGAUCAUCUCAGUACUUGACUGGUGCGAGAAUUUCGAGCUGUGCUCCAAGCUUCUCUUCAGCGACCUUCUCAGCCUUGGCUCUAAGUUUGUUAAGCUGCUUCUUACGCUCGUAAACAACUUGAGAUCUCUCCUUCCUCUUCGUCUCCAGCUCCUGUUCAUUCGAUAUUAGUAUUACAUCAGUCAUCAGAAGCCAUUAACAACCCACAAAACCUCAUAAGCUAAUGAUAUUUCAUCUAUGUAAAUAAAACCAACGGUGCAGAGCAAAAUGCAUACCUUGAUGGUGUCGUAGUGGUUCCACCCCACUUCAGAGGAGAGACGGCCCAACAGACAGUACUUGUGACCAGCUUGAAGCCUCAAGACCCUGAAGGUGAAAAAAAGAAUAAUUAAUACACAAACGUAGAAAGUAUGUGAAACUAGAAAAAAGGAGAAGAGUGUAAAGAGACAAACUUGAGAGCAUCAGGGAUAACCAUCCUCUUGACCUUGUCAUAAGGUGGAGGCACACCUUCAAACACCUUCAUGCGUGCAAGUGCAGCAGCUCCACGCUUUGUUUUGUGUGGAAUCAUACUGCAAAAUCAAACCACACACAAACUUUUCCCUCAGCAAACAUCAUGCAUUGAAUACAACCAUACAUAACUUGACACCUCAGCAUAAUAAAACCCAAACUAAAAGCACAGACAGAUCUAAAUAAGAACACGAGCGAUAAACACACAAAAUGUAAUAGCUACCGUGUUACACAAGCAAGCUAAAGACUUGAACUUUAAGAAACUUAAAACCAUAUAAAGGAUAGAUCUUUCGAUCUACUAACCCGCGAACAGUACGCCAGAAGAUCUUAGAGGGAGCACGGAAGUGAAUGGGUCCAUGAGAAGGCUUCGUGUUCAUACGUUUGCGGAGAAACCUCAUGUACUUCAUUUUCUGGCGAACGAGUCCACCGGAGAGGCAAAUCUCCUCGCAUCUAACGAUGACGACCUUCUGCCCAUUGAGCAGCUCCUUGGCUACGAUCGACGCCAAACGCCCCAGCAUGUGGUGGCGCGCGUCGACGACCACGCGCUUCGAGCAUAUACCUGAUCCUGACACCAUUUUUGCUUCCCUUGUGUGUGUUAGCGGCUGAAGAGAGACACUCACGAAAUUAUAUUCGAGUAGUCUAGGGUUUAAGGGGUAUUUUCGUCUAUUUAAUGUAUUUUAAUGGGCCGAAUAAUUUAUGUGCUUUGGCCCAUUGGUGAUCCUAAGAGUCCAUUAAAAACUCAAAUCCCUUAUAUAUUAAAAGAGAAGCAUUGUAAUAAAUGCAUCCACACUAUAAUAGACACGUGGCAGUUUCACAAUGAUUUGAUAAUAAAUAUGUUAACGCGUUCACACUAUAUCCAUAAAUGUGUUUACACUAUGUAUUUUGUGUUUUCUUAAUAUAAAACUCACAUACAUAGUUCCAAUAAAACUCUGGAUUUUUCAGUUCGAAUAAAACUAGAUAACGAAUCAAAAGCCAAACUAUAUAUAUAUUAUUUUUAUUGUUUACAAAUAAAGUUGAACAAAAUAUUCAUAAAUUUUGAUUCGAUUCGUUUUCCGUUUUGAUUUAAACCAAAAAAUCUGGAUAUUUGUAACUCUACGAAACAAAUCAAAUAUUAAAAUACAAUAUCCAACAAAGAAGCAAAUCACAAAAACCAAUAUUUAUAGGAACAUAUAUCUAAUUCGAUCUGUUAUAUGCAUAUAUAUACAUAUAUGUAAAUAAUUAUAUAUAUAUAUAUGUUAUGAAUAAUAUCAGUUUAUAUCGGUUUUACAAUAUUUUUAUAAAUUAAAUUUAUUAUAUUAGGUACUAGAAUUUAAAAAGUUAAAUAAUGUUUUAUUUUUGUAAUAAAAUGUUAUUAUUAAAAUUUUCAAUUAUUUUUAAAAUUUUAUUUUAUUUACGGAUCAAAUCGGAUAUUCUUUAAAAUUGUAAAACAUUUCGGAUAUCCGAGUCACUGAAUAUCUAGGUGGCUAAAGAUCGAGUCGACACGAAUGCUUCCAAGUACCUAUAUAUUUGAUAUGUGUCCACUCUUAUUUACGGAUACAAUUUAUUUUCUUUAUAUGAAAAAAAAUGACUAAUGUCAAGGCCUUUUUUAAAAUUAAUUUUAAUUUUAUUUUUCAUUUAUUAUUUUGAACAAAAAAGUAAAUUAAUAUUAAUUAACAAUAUCUUCAUAUAUUUGUCAACUAUUUUCAUAUACUUUUUACAUACACAUGCAUAUGCACCUUGAUGUGAACACCUUGUAACUAAGUAUUCACCAUAAUUGAAGUAUCUAAUUUUUUUGAAAGUUGAAAUAUUUUUUUUAAUGCUUCUUUCACUACAGUCCAAAUUGUAAUGAAAUGAUUUGUCUUAAUAUUUUUAUUUUAUUUUUUAAAUUAUUAUCUGUUUAGAAACUAUAAUAUGAAACCAUUGGUUUGACAUGACGACUAUCUAAAAUUCAUAAUAUGAAAAUAAACAAAUAAUAUUAAUUUUUAGUUUUUACCGAAAAACAAAAAAAUCAAACAUUUUAACCGAAUAAACUAAAAUGAAUAUGAAUUUAAAAUAAUAGUUAUAUUUUGAAUGAUUAAAAACCAAAAAAAAAAAAAAACCGAACCAAUAUCCAGAUUAAACAGAUUUAAUGUUUUUUAUUAAAAAUAACGAAACUAAUAAUCUCAUCCCGCGCAAGGCGCGGGUUAUUACCUAGUCAUAUAAUUAUGAAUGACGACAACUCAUUCGGUUUAUUCGGUUUUUGGAUUAAUCGGACUGGGAUGUUUAGUAACCAUUAGGAAUCAGCUAUUUUUUCAGAUCGGUUCGGUUCAGAUAAUAUCGGGUUUCUAUUUUUUUUAUAAAACUUGAAGUGGAAUCGAACUAUAAAUAAUUCGAUUUUGGUUCAGAUUUAAAGCCAAAAACUAAAAAUAAUCCUAAAACCUUAGUUAAACCCAGAAAAAACCAAAAAAAAUAUUCUGAAUUCAGGUAAUUCUGUUUUUUGGAUAUUUUAUAUUAUAUAUAUAUAUAUAUAUUAAAAUGAAAAAAAAUUAAUAUUUUUAAUAUAUUUAAAAUAUUUUGGUAUUCGUUCGGUCUCCGGUUCGGUUUCCAGUUCAGUCCGGUUCAGUUUCGGUUUUUCGGAUUUAGAAAUAUAGAAACCGUUCGAAACUUUUGUAAUUUUUGGUCUGGUUUCGGUCUCGGAUUUUUCGGUUUGGUUCUGGUUUGGGUUUCGGAUUUUGGAUAAUAUGCCCAUGACUAAUAUACAGGUAUGUUACAUGAAGAAAUUUAAGUACAAGAAUGUAACUCAAGCAGAGGCAAGAAUAUUUAGGGCAACUUCUUUGAGAGAAGGCAUGGUUUCUUGCUGGUGAACACAGAUGCACUUGUUUCUCGUUCUCCUCAGGACUUGCCAUGGACCUGGAUAGCAUCUACAUCAAUACAACAACUGAUUCAGCAAAAGAUCAAGAAACAAGAGGAUAUCAAUUUGUCUUUCUUUCUUUUGUUUUAUCAGAAGUAAACCUGAAAAGGACACCUCCUUUUUGACCCUUGAAGUUGUGGAUGUAGUACACUGUCUCCAUCUUUGGAAGAAGUGUCUCUGUCAGUGCACCAAGUUUUGGGUAAAAGAACUUUGGAUAGUCUUUUUGUUAUGUAUUAAAGGAAACAAGAGGUCUCUCUCUCUUUUGAGUUCUACUUUAGUUCCAUUUGAUGAGAAGAAGAAAAAGGAUACAGCCUGAACGUAUGCGGUCAAGUUCUCCAUUGAAGAUGAUUAGUUUUCUAUCAGUGUUCACAACAGCUUCCUUGUAGAGCUCUUCCACUACAAGCAUCUCUGAGUUUGGGCAAAAUAGGAACACACCACAAAGGAAUGAGCCAGAUGUAUAUAAUGUUAGCAAGAUGGUUAUGUUUGAGUGUAUUAUACCGUUGACAUUAAAAUAAGGGUAUGCAACAAGGAACAGUUCGUCUUCAGGCUUCACUCGAUCCGCCAUCUUUACUCUCUCAAAGAAACCAAAGUCUUCAAAGAGAGAAGGCUUUGUUAGAUAGUCCAGCUUAAAGUAAGUUCCUUCAAAGACAUUUUUUUUAGCAAAUUUGACUUCGUUUGCCUCCGGGAAGAACUGAAAUCAUCAUGUUAAGCAGAACUUUUAUAGAUGUUGAAACUUGUUAUAAAUAGUUGGAUAACAAUAAGUUUGAAUGCAUACAAUUCUUGUGGUUCGAGCCUUUUCAGGAGAUAUAAGGCGGUCACAAAACUGGUGUAUCAUAUUCAUACUUUCUGUCAUCUCUGUCGCUCCUUCACCAUCACCUAUUACAACACAAGUAACAAUGCAACAGAAAACACACAGUAAUAUCUAAUAAGCAAGAUGCGAAUUAAAAAAAAAAACAGCAUAGAAGAUGAAAGUAGUUAGUUACCUGGCACAGAUGCAAGACCAGAUGUUGGGAACUCAAUUUCCUGUAAAAAAAAAGGUUCCCUUGGAUCACAGUAAUAAUAAACGAGAUCCAUUUUUUAAACAAGCAUUGCAAAACUCACUCACCAUUAACUGUUUCUCGUCCUUCAACGCCAUUUCAACUGCUUGUUUUGCCUGUAUGUUUUUCAUCCAUCAUAUCCACACUAAUGCUUUAGCUUUACAUAACUCAAAAUUGGUAGUAGCUAAUUUGGUGUUAAGAAGAAGAGCAAAAUAGAAAGCUGACUUGGUUAAUGAGCUCGAAGUAAUCACGAGGAAAAGGUACAUUCUCCACAGAUGUGUUAGACCCUCCAGAAACAGAACAAACUCUGUACUUGAGAUUCCUAUUCGUCUUGGUGCCAUCAUUGCUCUUCCAAUAUAUACCACUUCCACCCAAAACAGUCUACAAUACAAGAUUGAAAAACAUUCAGUCUGAUACGUGUGUGACUUGGUCUUUCAGUUGAGAGAUGCUUUAAAACAACACAUGUAGGAUUAUUAGUCAGUAUACAAACGGAUACUGUAUCUACCUUUGAGUUGGGCACGAGAGUUCCGGCAAGAGAAGCCGGAGAGACGGUGGAUGCGAUGGAGAAGGAGGAAGGUGACAUAUGGUCCACAGAAAAAUGAAACUGUAUCUUUAAUAUUUUGUGGAGGGAAACUGAGAUAAAUAUUAAUAACUUAUUAUAAAUAUAAAAAGAAAUUAAAUAUCAACCAAUAAAAUAAACAGAAUAAAGUAUUUAAUUAAUUAGCAAGAAGCAUUUAUCAGCGAGGCGCCAGAUCUGUUAAGCUAAUUUAUUAGUAGCCAAUCACUUGCCUUGGACCUUCCACCAGAAACCCUUUGAAUAAUUGAGGAUCAUCGGGAGAUGGGCGGAGACGGCAAAGUGUUCACCUUGGCGGAGGUUUCUCAGCACACUAGCAACCAGGACUGUUGGAUCGUCAUCGACGGCAAGGUUCCCUUCUCUUCUCUCUCUCUCUGGUUUGAUCUCUCAUUAUUUGAUAAGAUCUGGAUCGCACUAUCAACUGUAACGUAGAUCUGCUCUGCUUAUGCUCUAAAUCACUGAUAAUUUGGAUCCCUUUGCUAAAAAUCCUACUGAUUCUUUAUUGAAUGUGAUUGCUUACUCUCCAUGUUUGUUUCAUUGAUCUCGUAUCAUUGAACUUGUUGACUACGUGUGAUAUGUGAAUAGUUGAAAAGGUCGCUUAAAGGCUUAAGCUUUUGUUCUUUUGAUGGUGUAUAUGUAGGUUUAUGAUGUGACCAAGUUCUUGGAUGAUCAUCCUGGUGGUGACGAGGUCAUCUUGACUUCCACAGGUAACCACCUUACACGUCUUUCUUGGUUUGUUAGUAGUUCAUGUUUGGGCACUUAUCAAUGUGUUGGUUUCCAGGGAAAGACGCGACGGAUGACUUUGAGGAUGUGGGACACAGCUCCACUGCUAAAGCCAUGCUUGAUGAGUACUACGUUGGUGAUAUUGACUCCGCCACUGUCCCAGCCAAAACCAAGUUUGUUCCUCCUCCUUCGAACCAGACCCAGUCUAACCAGAACAAGAGCUCGGAUUUUCUCAUUAAGAUCCUUCAGUUCCUUGUUCCUCUUCUUAUCUUAGGCUUGGCUCUCGGUAUCCGCUCUUACACCAAGACUCCUUCCUCUUGAGGACUCAGUUCUUGGGUCGUUGAGUGUUUGUCUACGUGGGUUUACACUCUUUAUCUCUCUGCCUGUCUUUGUAAGACUUCAGAUAUUAUAUUCUCUCUUAAGAGACCUUUUGUUUGUCUUUAAUCAAAAUCAAAUCCAUUUACAAAAGAUUGAAACUCAGAGUAACUGAGAAUAAUAAUAUCAUUCACUCACUCACUUUAACAAGCAGCAACAGGUAAAGAGAAUAUAUAAGAAAUAAAAUGACAGAGCUUGCUAAUCCAUGCUUGCGCAUGUUCUCUCCAUCACCUUUGAAUCAGUUCUGAAAGACUGCUUCGAUGGAGAGCUUGAUCCUCUUGAUGAGCUAUGUUGCCCCCCAAAGAAGCUAAGCUUCCCCAUCUUCUUCGAGAAACUGCUCAUGAACUUGCGCGAGUGAGACCUCUGCAUAUCUCUCUUCAUGCAGAUAUGCUCCUUCUCCAGAUCGUUGAGCCUCAUCCUCAGCCUAGCUAACUCGAGCUUCAGCUCCCUGUUUUCUCUCCUCAGAGACGCGUAGUUGUCUUUGGGGGACAUCGCUGCGCUGAGAGCUCCGCUGUUGAUUCUCCAUGACUGUUGCUGCUGCUGCUUUGGCUUUGUCUCUUCGUCUGAGUAAGAAGUGCACAAGGAGCUUCUGAGCUUAAGCUGCUCAAAGUAGAGAACCUGAACUAUGGACUGCAGAGGAAGCCGCUCGUUCUGCGCAGCGUGUGCUCCUGCCUCUUGCGAGAGUUUCUGGAAGUCUAUAAGUUUAGACAGCUUCUUCUUGUCUGAAUCAGACAACCCUUGAUGUGCCUGAGAAGUGAGAACAUAAGUAUCAACAAGACAAGACUCAAGAAAAGCAAAAACUGUUUAAGUUUACCUUAAGAUAGAGAUCAAUGGCACGGUACAACCCAUCAUGAAGCGUGCGAGCAUGAAGCGGCAAAGCUUCCGCAAUGAGCAAGAACUUGGGAAGGUCAAGGUUAGCAUCAGGAGCAAUCUCAGCGAGGUAACUAUCUACAAGCUUCGCAACUUUAAACAUUGCGCUUUGAGAAGGCGUAUGCGGACUACUAUCAUCACCACAUUCAAACACAGACUCUUCAUCCUCACUAUCAUCACCUCCUUGCUGCGAGAAGUUCACCAAGAUUCUGUGAACCGUAUCAAUCUCAAACAAAGUAUCUCCGGAGUGACGAAAAGAAGGGAUCAAGAGAUCGUCUAACGUCGCCAUGUCAAGCUGAGAACCAAUCCUCCUCUCUAGAUCAAGCCUGCAUGCUGGUGACGGACAAACCAAGGCAAUAAUCAACUGAACUAUUCAUUCUGCUUCUACACUAACAAAGCCCCGCUCUUCUAAGCAACCCGAAGAGGAAACUUAUAGGGACAACGAGUUUCUCAACUGGGAGAAGAGCAACGAUCGUCUCAACAAUGGCUUGUUCAUGUUCUUGAUGUCCUGUCUUUGUCAGCUCUCUCUCCGCGUAACUCACCAAAGAAGCUCCUAUACUCUCCGGACGCACGCCGCGGCACUUCAUAGCGUUCAUCACUCUCUGAUACAAAUCAAUCCUAAGAACCGAAAGAUCCUCAAUCCACCAGUCUCCUCCUCCUCCAUCGUUACCUUUAGCUUGCUUGCUCAUGUGAAGCCUCCCCGAGCUGCUAUACUCCAACCUCGAGAAGCUCGAGGCGAUCUGCUCGGCGCAGGCCUUUGAUGCGAUGGCGUCUAUGCAUCUGGUUACGAUGCUGAGCUCGUCUGCCAGAGGGAGGAGAUUCUCCGACUGUUUCAAGACUUGGACGCACAUCUCGAGGCUCUUGCAGACAAUGCUGUCGAGAUACUCCUCUGUUCUCGAAGCCAAGUUGUCUUUGGAGUACUCCUCUGUCAUCUCGAGGUAGUCAGAGACGCAUAAGAGCUGCGCGACGUUUGAUGAGGUGAUCUCGAAGUUGAUCCCGUAGCAGAACUUGGCUGCUAGCUCGAAUGUCUCUGCUCCUCCUGGGAGGUUGAGAAGCUCCACUUUGGAGAUGUCUGAGUCUCUGUGUUCCGCGACGAUUCUACGGAUUCUUCCACUUCUGGAGACUAGAGGGAACUGAGAGAUGGAGAAAUCAAACAUUGGUUCUCAGUAACUACAUAUCACUGUUAAUGUUUUAUAAGUAUGGAUAUACCUUGUGAAGAGCAAAGUUUCCUCCGUUUACUUCAAUGGUUAUAUCACUUGGAACGUCUCGAAAGAUCCUGUAAAGUUUCAGGAAAGAAACUUAAGUAAGAGGAUGGCAGUGAAAAGAGAAGAAAGAGAAGAAAACAAUACCAUUCACUACAGCUUUGCCUAGAAGAUUUAGCAAGGGAGAGCUUCUGGUGGUGGUGGAGAUGUUGAUGAUGCUGUAGCAGAAGAUGAGGGUGAUGCUUGUCCAUGAAGAAUAAUUAUGUUCAAGAAGCAGAGAAAGAUGCAGAAGGAACCAAUUAAAAGUGUUGUAGUUUGGUGAUGGUUAGUUUUUUCCUCUGGAGAUUUCCAAAACCAGAGAGAGAGAUAAUGAUGGUAAUAGUAGUGUUGAAUGAGCAUUAAUCAUAACACCUGGUCAUGUUUUGUUCAAAUCCAAAUUUUUUGUCUUUGUCUUUAGUUGGGUCCCCUUUGCUUGUCCCUCCAUAGUUUUCUCCCUACUUUGAAAUGUCAAGAACAGAUCUUUUUCAAGCAACAAUUGUCAAACGUGAAUUAAGCUCCGUUUUAUUAGGGAUAUCAAAAAGAUUCUAUACAAAGUUGGAAUAGAACAUAUGAGCAAAAAGAAGAAAAACAUACUGAUAAAGGUGUGAGAAAAAGGAGAAAAGGUGUCGAAAGGCUUCAAUCCAAAGGGAAAAUGAUUUGCAGAGUGGGAAAAGUUAAAGCAGAAAAGGAAAAAAAGGGAGUGUUAAUUUUGGAAUUUUUAUUAUAUUCUUAAAACAUCUUUUUGUUUUGCUUUGUCUCUUGUCAUCAUUUGUCAUUAUCUUCUUCCUUUCUUUCUUCUCUUGCGGGUGAGAAAGAGUAUUACUCCUACAAUAGUAGUUUGAAGUUUACCUACAUCAUAAAGCUUGAUGUAGCUCAUCAGUAGACUUGGCACCAGUGAUCCGCUUCUAAGUCCUCCUUGUGCAGCUUAUUCUCUCAUUCAAGAAACCUCGUGCAUUUUAACCCUGUUAUGAGAAAAAUACAAACCACCAAGAUUGCCUCACAAGAAAGUAAUAAACAAUUGUUUUAGACCGUUGCACCAAAAGGUUUUUGGCUAAUUUUGCUUAUGGUCAGCUCAUCAAAUUCAAAGUUAGAAACUAUUGGCUUAGAAAGUAGAGGAUCUCCAACCGCAUUAUAUAUUUUACUCCAAAAUGAAAUGAAAAAUAGAAUUAUGAACAAAAAAUAAAAUAUUACUUCAUUUGUAGAGCUGCGAUAUUAUUUUUGUUCAUUAUUCUAUUUCUUAUUCUAUUUUGUAGUAUUUAAUAGAGUGGAAGAUGCUCUUCGCUAUUUCCAAUCAUAUAUUUUUUAUGUUUAUGAACUUUCUCUAAACUGUAAAGUAACAGAUUACUGCAGCUCUCAAUCUGUCAUAUAUAGUAUAAGUUCUUAACACUGGUAUGUCUCUUGUUUUCAUAUUCAUGUGAACGAUUCCAGACAAAGACUCAUCGUCCCAUCCCUUGGAAUUAACCUAUUCAUUAUUCGACACAAUACUCAUGUCAAGUCAAUACUGUAUGACUAUACAUCUCUUCUUAAAUAUUGUAAAUAAUUGAUUCAUAAAAUUUAAUAUUCCGAAAAAGACUUGCUCUUUAAAGUCACACUCGCCCCUCUACAGAAACGAAAUAUUAUUCUUAAUCAGACAAAUUGAUAUUCUGUUGGUUGGGCUGUGUUACGUCUUGCGUGUGAUGUCGAUUAGUGUUAUUGCUUGAAUCAAGUAGGGCCCUAAUCACGUUCUUCUUUCACAUCCACAUGCUUAUUAAUUGUUUUUGAAAAUGCUUAAUGCAGAUAUAUUUUCGCAUAGGAUAAAAACUGUAUAAGGAUGUUCAAGUGAUUCACCAACUUGUAGGGUGAACUCUUCAACCACUUGACCACCACGAACCAUGAAUUGGUUAGUAUUCAAAAGCUAAAGAUGCGGAGAUGAUUAUGUGAGAAUGAUGUCUUCUCCACCUCCAUUAUUUAUUUUCGGUUUUGAUUAGAUACAAACAAAAGCAUUGUCUCUUUUUUUAAUCUACUACCAAGUCAAAACUUUCUUAAGCCCACUCGUCUCUUUAUACUUUUUUCUUGGGUAACUCAGCAAAAUCUAGAUCAUAUUGUGUUUUUUUACGUGUUGGUUUUUGUAAAAAAAUUAACUGUUUUUUUAGAUAUUUGAUUAGUCUAAUUAUUUUUAUAAUUCGAAUUUUAACAUAAAAUGGCAUAGCUAACUAACUUAACAGGACAUAAAAUUAAAAUUGCGUUACUCUCACAGUUUCACGGCAUGCAAACCAAACAAUAUAUAGUUUUAGCAUGUUCCGUACAUCGUUUCACUCGAAACUUGUUUGUUUCAAAUGCAAUUAUAUGGUUUGCAUUUAUAUGAGGAAAACAAAAGAAAUUCUCAUUUUAUGUAAGAUGCAGACGAAAACACCGAUCAAUAUUCAAUAACCAAAGAGUUUUAUUUCGUUUGCGUUUACAAAUAUCAAAAAUAAAUUCCUUAAAAUUGUUGAAGUACUAUGUAAGUACUACGUGUAAAUGGUAAAUGCACACAAACACUCGGUGCCGUCUUCUAACCAAUAUAAACUAUCUAAUUUUCUAUAUCAAAUGUUAAAUUGUAUACACAAAAGUUAAGCAGGGGUAACAAUCAGUGUUUUUCGUAGUUUGUGAGUUCAUAUUGUUUAUAAAAUUUUGACCUUUUAUAUGUUAUAUAAAUCGUUUUACUGUUCUCAAGAAAUUUUAGUUUUAACAUUGAAGAACAUGCUUUCAACUUUUUGUUCAUAUAAAAAACAGAAAUCUUUCAACCAAUUUGAAAAACUGAAAUGAUGGGAAUAAUUGUAUUCUCCCGGUGAUUAUGGAAAUUUGAAAAGAAACUCAAAAAAUCAUAUAAUAAAAGAAAACUGAAAACAUAUGGAAACAGAAAAAUAAGGAAAAGAAAAUGUAGAGGGUCAACUUGUGAAAGACAAUAAGUAAUGGGGUUAGAAGGAUAAAAACAAAAAGACACAGUAGACAUGGAACGAAAGGAGAUCCUUUAUCAACGCAUCAUAUGUCUCCUUGCACGCGCUUCGUACAUUUAACGCUUUGAUUGUCAUUAUUGUUGUUUGGUCUCCUCUCCUAUCAUUUUUCUAUAUUUUUGUGAGCUAACCAUACAAUCAAGCAUCCUAUGCAUCACAUCAUUUGUUUUUAUAUUUUAGUAAAAAAAGUAGAUUGAAGUGAUCCUUACACAUCUCACUUGGACUUGGCCUUAUUCUUUAAGCUCAAAAGAGCCCAACCCAGUAGGAGUUUAAAUUUCUGACCUAUAUUUUAUAGCUCGGUGUAGUCCAAUUAGAGUUGGCAAGUUUGAAUUACAUUCGAGCUAUUUUCUAAAACCGACAAAUUUGCUGGAAAGUGCUACUUGAACAAAUUACAUUUGGAAACAACUGCAUAUGCAAGCAUCCCAUAAACUUGGUUUUAAAGGAAUUAGUAGCAAGGUUGGGGUCUUAUUCAAUAGCAGAAAAUUGUCAACAACAACAGAUAAAUCUCAUCACUUAUAAAGUUAAAGAAACACAGAUUUUUUUUUGUGGAACGCUACUUCAUUAAAAUCCACAAAAUGAGUUUUUUUUUACGGAAAAAAAUAUUGGAUAAAAUAAUUUAAGAUAUCAUAAAAGAUGAAAGUAUACCUAUAAGCCAGUCGGUUAACGGAGUAAAAGGAUACAAAUCAUAUGAUACAAAUGAUAUCUUGCAUCAAAUAUAGAGAUGUGAACAAUAUGCGGAGAUUGUCUUAUUCAGCUAAUUAAUUAAUAUCUUAUUUUAGUAUGGCGAAGACCGAUCCGACCAUUACAAGUUUGUAUCGAUAUUUGAUGUCAUGUUCGCUCCAAAGCAGAAUGAUUUUUAGUUCGAUUGAUUUUAUUUCUAUGUUUUUUACCUUUUUUUGCCGUGAAAAUAAGUUUUAGAGGUUUUAUAGUUUACUUAUCACAUCUUGUAAGACUCAACCGUUCAUUUUUAAAAUGAUAUUUACAAUUUACCCAAAAAAAGAAGACCGGUUCCCUUCAUGAAAGAUGAAACUAAAAGCAAUGACGAUCAUGUUUAAUUUAUAUAAUUUUGGCAGUUUAGAAGUUUGGUUAUCCGUGUGUAUUAAUUAUUUAAAUUUUGAAAGUUAAGCCGAAAAAAGUUUGAUUCCCUCGUAGGCGGUCCUCAGUCCUUAGCUCACAUUAACAUGCCUGUGAGCUAAGGCCUAUGGGGUAAUCAGAAGGAUGAAGCCACAGAGCAAGGGGAGUGUGAGAAGAAAACAAACGAAAAGACAAAAGGCUUUCGUAGUGAGUGCUAACAUCUUUUUGGCAUUUUCUAGCAAAUAGUACUAAAAGGUUCAAACAAAACAUUGAAUAAACUGAACACAGAUACCCCCAAGUGCGCAUUGGUUAAAGAUAUGACCGAAGCGAAUCUAAAUGUCCCAAAACAUGAUUCGUAUUAGUCAGCGAGCCCGUGAUCUAACAACACCCCGUGUGUAUAUGUAUACAUCACCAUACGUGUGUCUGUAUCUAUGCAGGUACGGACGUACGUAUUGUUAACGUUUAAUGGAUUCACUUUUUUUUUAUUUUUUAGAUAACUCUGGUAUCUGGGUAGCCACAUUCCUAACUAUCCCCCGAAAGGGGUCCAGCGCCCCAACGGAAAGGAUGUUAAAUCCGUUGUGGCCAAGAUUCGAACCCGGGUGGCGUAAUGGAUUCACUUUCAAUCUCACUUCAAGCGAUUAGAGAAAACAAAGAACAAUGAUUGGUUUCGAGAUAAAAUUUUACAGUUCCAUCACAUGGGGCUGGCCAGUUUCCGAGAGACGAUAGAAAAAAGUUAAAACAACAGAGAUCUUCUCAAUGAACACUGUAAUAUAUUUUGUUGUCUCAUCUUUUUGUCCCUGUCUGAUAAAACUCUGUUGUAAUAAUUAGGGUGUCUAUUUCAAGCAUCGGGACAAGCAAUAUCUCAGAUUAUUCACACCCAUGCACAUUACAAUUACAUUACAAUUGAAAUAACAAUUAACACUAAUGAUCAAUGCUAUACCUCUAAUUAUUCACACCCCAUACACGUUCACGUGCUGUAAAUCAUGAGAAUUAUGUCAAAAGGAGGGACCAUUUUGUGUGUAGUUGAACCAAGAGUAAUAUAUUUCAGAUUUCAAGAGUAAGGACUCAGCUACCAAGUUCACACGUGAACCCAUUUAAAGUCUAUAUCUACAUCAUUUUCUCACUACAUGCCAAGAUUGAACAUGUUUACACACGUCCACAUCAAUCAUCAUCACCAUAUGCAGAUAGCUUUGAAUAAACAAACAUGACAGAAAAGACUUAACAGAAACAGAGAUAAGCAAACAAAUUCACUACGCAUCUAAAAUCACCAAAAGAGAUUAGUACAAAUGGUGUGAGGUUCAGGUCUCUAAUCUACUUUUACCAACUUGUUUUCUAACCGCAUUAUUACUUAAGAUUACACUCCUUUAUAAAGGAUUUCGAUGUUCGGUUAGUCUGUUAAAUUCACCACAUUCUACUUCCACACCAUGUAACUGGAGCUUGCUCCCUUUGAACCUCAUGGACUGACUUGUACCCACGCGUAGCGUCCAGUGAGGGGCACAUCAUUCACAAUGUCGAAGUUGUACCUAAAGAUUUUUGAAACACAUUAGUGUUCAUCCUCUUGUAAUGCAGCAAAAAAAAAAAAAUCCUCACUUGUCCAUGAACAGCCUCUGCUGUUGCUGCUCGGCAUAGGCAAAGAACUCCUCCAGUUCACUAGUUGAUGGGACUGAGCUAUCUCGGUCCCUUAUGCAGUCUCUGGUUGCUGUGCGCAUCGACUUUGUGCUAGACCCUGGUGUAACAAUGAUCUCCAGAUCCUCAGCAAAGUUACAAGGCGUGCUCUCCCUUGUGCUAAAGAAAAAUCAAUAAACAAUUAUCAACACAAAGACAACCAAAAACUGAACCAAAACUGAACAUCCAGAGAAAAAGAGAAACUUGAUUUAAGUAAAAAACAAAAGCUAGACUUUAUGAGUAUAUGGUCCCAUCUGAUACGCUAUGCAAUAAAUAACAAAGAGAAGGAAAACACGUUGUCCUCUAUUGAGAGAAGUUGCCCAAAAAACAGAGAAUCCUACAAAAGUAUUCCCCAAGUUUGCAAAAACCCACUAGGUCCCAUGAACAUGACGCCACACCACAGUACUUGCACUACACUUAUGAAGAAAGUCUCCAUUUUUUCAUAUGAUCUUACAUAUUAAAAGCUACUGACAAUUACACAACAACCCCCUUUAGUAAAAAAAAACGAAAAAACCACAUGUUCAAAUAAUUACAGUGAAUGACCAAAUCCCAGAGCUCUAUUCCUAAAUCCUAAUGCAUAUCACUUCCAGAAUCAUUAGCAGGAGAGGACUUAAACUAAUAUGCACAAAAAAGGAUCAAAAGCUGAACCGAAGUAGUUAAUAUAAGUAGUUAAUAUAAAACGAUACAUAUAUGUAUACAAAGAAAAGAGUUUUUGUUAACAUUGAUAACCUCUGCAACGUGGUACACAUGAGACAGACAAACAAUAACUCUGAAAUAUCUAAUCUAACACCAAAAAGAGAUCAGAGUGAGCAGUAAUAACAACAGCAGUACAUCAGAAGAGGAGUAAAGUCGAAUAUAAAAUAAAACCAAUCAGGUAAACUUAACAUGAGAAAGAAAGAAAAAAACAUUUAUUUCUAGUUGUACUAUAAGCUAUUUUCAUCUCAAUAAUAAUAAUUAAAAAAAAAACAUUUGAUUUGAGCAAACAACAAGCCUAACGCUCUUCAUAGUUUGGGCAAAAAGAAGCUAUGACACAAAACCAGACGAACUUGUGUCUUAAUCUAAACCCAAAACUAACAUUUUUAAUAAGAAAAACAAAAAAAAAAACGAAACUGGGUUUCAUCGAAUUGGUAAGCUAGGGCACAAAAGGACGAACCUUUGUCUCGAUUCAAAAUCAGGACUGUUCUCUCCACAAAAAGCUUCAGACUUUCCGAACCAAUCAUCUCCGUCUACACGAACCGAACCCGAACCGGAGUUAACCCGACCCUUCGAGGCAGACUCCUUAAUUCUCGGCGGCUGUUUCGGCUCCGUCAGCGCCAUUGGUUUCUCGAGGCGGCGGCUGCGGAGCUGAAGGUAGCAAGAAGAGUCUCCGGCCAAAGCGGAAUCAGAGGCGGAGGAAUUGAGCCGCUUCAAAGCUAGGGUUUUAGCGGCUCUGGUGCGAACGCCCAGAGAAGUUGGCUCCGUGGGUUCCGUAUCGUUGUUGGUAAUCUUCGAUUUCUUCAUGUAUUUGCCCAUUUUGGGAGGUUGAUUUUGGGGGAGAGGGGGAAGCUUAGCUCGAGAGCGGGAAAGAGAGAAUGAGAGGGAAAAAGCUUCGAGGAGGGAAGCGAGGCGAGAAAAAAAAAUGGGAAAUGGUUUUCGAGUUUUGUGGGGUUAAAUGUAGAGAAAAUGAGAAAAAAGGUGAGCCCUUUUUAUUGGGACAUUUGCUAAAACCAACCCAAAUAUUCAAGUCAAAUGUAAAAGUGUACCCCACUUUCAGUCAAAUGCAAAACCAACCUAAAGGAGUAGUGAAAGUACUAUUUCACCCUUAUGACCAAACAAAAAACAUAAAUGUAUUUUACGUUUCUAUCCUUUGGAAGUCUACACGUAAUAAAAGAAGUCUACAUAUAUAUAGACUUCCUACGAAGUCUACUUUAUAGACUUGUUUUGUAGUCUACACUCUAAUUUGGUCUACUAAUUUAAUUUUGAAAAUGUAUAAAAAUAAUUAUUGUGAUAUUUUUAAUUAAUCAUCAAUAUAAUGGAUAAUAUGAAGUAAAUAAAUUAAAAUUUCAUAUAAUCGAACAAUUUUGAAGAAUAUAUACUAAUUUGGUUAUCAUGUGCUAGACUAUGUUCAUAGUUUAGAAACAAAAGGUUCUAACAUGUUAUGUCUUUUAGUAGUUGAUUUCAUAGGGUUAGAUUUUAGAUUUUUUUUUUUUUUUUUGUUUUAUUAACUUAAAUCUGCAUAUUAAUGUUUAGUAGUUUAUAUUUUGUAUAAAUGAGACUUUUUGAUUAUCAAGCAAAACAUUUAGGGUUUGAUAUUUGUGGUUUAGGGUUUCGUAGACCUACAAUAAAGUCUAUUUAUCUGAAGACGUCUUUUUCAGUCUAUAUUUUUCAAUUUGUUUUACAAAAAAUCAUUAUAUUUAAACUAAGUUAAGUUCCUUAAGAAUAAAAAAGUGAAAUCAUAUACUAUAACUAUUAAAAAAUAAAGAAAUAAAUUUAAUAAAUCAUAUAUUAAAAUUAUUAAAAUAAUAAAGAAUAAACAACAAUAAUUAAAUUAUUAUAGUAGACUUCCAAAAAGGUCUACUAUGUUAUAGUAAGAUCUACUCCAAAAUUUUAAUUUUAGUAGACUUCAAACGAAGUCUACAGUAUCGUAAAUUUUAACCUAGUUACAUUUUUGUCUCCCUAUAUAAACAAAAUUUAUUCAAUCUCUCUCUAAAGUGGCUGCACAAGUUCUUAAAACUCUCUCCCUUCUCUCUAAAACUUUCUCUCUUCUCUCUAAAAUUCUCUCAAUUGUUUUUAAAUCUCUCUCAUUAUCUUCUUUCUCUCUAAAAUUUUCUCAAGUCUUUCUCACAAUAUUAUCUUGUCAUUUUAGAUAUUAUGAUUCAUGGUUUUCAUCUUCUCCUUUAAAAAAUGUAAGUUUUAGAUCUAUAGAUUUUAAAUGUGUAUUUUAUGUUUAUUUCUCACAAUAUUAUCUUUUUUUUGUAGGUAUUAUCACUCAUGGAUUUCAUCAUCUCCUCUAAAAAUGUAAGUUUUAGAUUAAUAGAUUUUAAAUAUGUAUUUACAUGUUUAUAUUCAAAUAAAUUUAUAGAUCAAGCUCCCUACAUUAAUUUGCUACUAGUUUACCUUAUAAAUUAUAUUAUGUAAAGUAUUUUCAGAUUUAAAAUUAUUUUCACAUUUCAAAAUAUAUAGAUUUUUUCAGAUCUGAAAAUUAUCAGACAGUGUAGAUUUCUAAAGAAGUUUACUAAAGCUUGCAGACUUCAUAUGAAGUUUACUAAACCAUAAAGUUUAAGCAGACUUCAUUGGAAGUCUACAAAAAUAUGACUUUAAUUUUUUUUCUAUGUUUUUUAAUAAUUUUAUCUUAUUUUGCAGGUAUUUUCUUCCAUAGUUGUUCUCUUCUCCUCCUAGAAAUGUAAGGUUUACAUCUAUAGAUUUAAAAUAUGUGUUCUAGUAUUUAUAUUCAAAUAAAGUUACAUAUUAAAAUUCAUAUUAAUAUGUCUUUAAUUUAUAACUAUUUUGUCUAUUAAAUCAUAUUUUUAAAAGUUUUUUAGAUUUAAACUUAUUUCAUAUUUUUAAUGUAUUAUUUUUCAGAUCUAUUUUUUUUUAUAGAGUAGACUUCAUUUGAAAUCUACUUAAAACUUACGGCUCGUAGACUUCAAAUGAAGUCUACUAGCCUUGAAUUUUAAGCAAAUUUCAUUAGAAGUUUACUCAAAUAUGAUUUUAAUUUUUAUCUUAUUUUUUAAAAUUUUAGUUUAUUUUGCAGGUAUUCUCUUCCAGUAUUUUCAAAUCAUCUUCCCAAAAAUGUAAGCUUUCCAUAUAUUCAUUAUAAGAUAUUUUGUGUUUAUAAUGAACUAAAUUUAUAGAUUCAUACAUUAUCUUUUUGCUUUGUUACAAGGAUGACAAAAAACCAUUUUUGAAAUAUUUUCCAGAACAAAGUAUUUUCAAAUUUUCUAAAUGCACACUUUUAAAUAUGAAAAUUUUCCAUUAGUGUAGACUUCAACUAAAGUCUACUAAACAAUAACUUUACGUAGACUUAAUAAAAAGUCUACUAAAAUAUGAUUUUAUUUUUUAUCUUAUGUUUUUCUCAUAACUCUAUCUUAUUUGGCAGGUACUUUUUCCAAGACUUUAUUUGAAGCAUCAAGAUUAUGAAAAAUCAAACAUACUCAAGAAUACUUUUUAAUAUAUUGCUCUGUAAUAACUUUCAUAAUAAAAUAUUAAUUUUUAAAUAAUUUUUUAAUGCAUAAUCUAUAAACAUUGUAUUCAUUUUUAGUUGUUUUCACUUGUAUGAUAUUAUUAAUUUUUUGUUAGAUAUCAAUUUUUUCACAAGAUCUAACCAACCAAACAAGUAAAACCACCAUAAGCUAAAAUAAUAACUAACACACAUGUGAGAAGAAGAAAAUCUAUACAAAAUUUUCCCAAAAAUUUUCAAGAAUAAUACUAAUCAAAACAAUUUGCAAUAAGUAUCAAGUGUAUAAUUAUAACACAUUAAAUUGUGAAAUUCAUCCAAGACCAUUAAAAUUUUACUAACAUACACUGUAAAAUAAUUAAAUCAUGAAAAAAUAUGAUGAAUAAUACACAAAUACACUUUUAAUAGAAUUUACGACGUAGACUUCAACUGCAGUCUACAUUUGUAGAUUUACAAAAAUGUCUACACUUAUUAUUUAACAUAUAGUCAAUCCAAAUUUUUUUAGUGUAUUGGCGCAGGCUUGAUACACAAAGGCGUACAAAGUGUGUCUUAGAUAACUCGAUCAAGUUCCGUACUUGUCGAUUAUUCGUGACAGGCAUAAGAGGAGUAUAUUCCUAUUCGGAGUCAUUUGUUUUAAAUGAUGGUUGGUAAGGAAUAGGUUAGCACCAUCUUCUCAAUUUUGUUGUCCAGAUCAUAAUCUUCUUGUGUCAUUUCAAGAAGUUUACCAUGUGUACAGCCAUCAUGCACAAGGAACAUUCUUCAACCUUUCCGAUUCUUCAUCUUUUUCGAAUAUUUUGUCACCCAAAAUGUCUUUGGCCCAUACUUCACACUCGCUCUAAGUUUCCAACCACAUCCUUGAACACGACACUUAGCCACAUACAGAGUUUUUGUUGUCUUAUAUGCUGAAAAUGUAAAAUUAUAUUCCACAGUCACCGACUUCAGCUUUGAAACAAGCUCAGCCUUACUAGCAAAACUAUAAACGAAGACUUAGAAAUACGUCUACAAUUAUUAGCUAACAACAUUGUCAAAUCAAAUGAAUUAUACCUUCAUAAUUAUAAAAAAAAAAUUAUUUUCAAAAUCACUCAAACCCAUUAAGAUUAACUAACACACACUGUCAAACAAAAAAACUAGAAAAAAAUUAAUGAAUAAUACACAAAUUCACAUUUUUAUAGAUUUUUCUAUGAAGACUUAAUAUUUAGUCUCUGAAGAUGUUGACGUUCUUUUCAGUUUACAGACGUAGACUGUCAAAUAGGUCUACUCUUUGGGUUGGUUUUUGCAAUUGACCAUUUUACGGGUUGCUUUCUAUAGUUGAAUAAAAGUUGUAAUUUUGUACAUGUAGACUUUCAUUUCAGUCUACAAUUUAAAAAGGUUACUUUUUGCAAUUGACCAGAAUUCAUCCAAGAUUUGACUUUCAGAACUAGACUUCAUAUGCAGUCUACAUGUUUGAAUUUUUUUGAAAGAGGUUAGUUUUGCAAUUGACCAAGUUUGACUUCAAAUCAGUAGAUUAAAAUGAACGUCUACGGGUGUGUAGACUUCUUGUGAAGUUUACUCUCAAAUCCGACGGGUUGGUUUUGCAUUUGACCAAAAUAAAAAAGUAGACUUUAUACGCAGUCUACAUUUUUUUUUUAAGAUAAGAAGACUGCAUAUGAAGUCUACAAUUUAAUAAAUUUUUGAUUGCUUUUUAAACUUUUUGGUCAAACACAAAACUAACCUAUUCCACGAAGUCAAAGUUUUGGUCAAAUGCAAAACUGACCUUUUAUAGACUUUGUUGGCAGUCUACAUUUUGUAGACUUCCGUUGAAGUCUAUUUUGAAAAGUCAAAAGUUCGGUCAAAUGAAAAACUAACCUUUUUUAGGUAGACGUCUUAGUAAGUCUACCGAAAGUUUUAUUUUUGUUGUCAAAGGUAAAGACGGAGACUACUGGGGAAGUCUGCGUUAGAAAAAAAAUUUGUCUGCUCAAUUGCAAAACUAACCCGUGCGUUGACAAAUAGACUGCAUCGUAAGUCUCCACGGAGGCGUAGACAUACAAAACAGUCUACCGUCGCGACACAGAUCUGAAAAAGAACGAAAACCAUGUAAAUAGUUACAUUUUUCAUGUGUAAAGCUUGUUUCCAACCUUUUCAACCGUCCAAACUCCAAAUAUGAGCAAAAAGAAGCAUCUUUAACGAUUCACUAAUGAAGAAACUCGAAAAUAUGAAGUUUGUGAUUAUGAAAAUGAUAGUUAUGAGAGUUUUUUAGAUGGAAAUGUAGAGGAGAUGAGAGAAAAUGAAGUUUUUUGGGUUAUAAUGAGAAAAAAAGUGGUUGAAAAUUGAAUUCUAGAGCUUUAGAGCUCAAAAAUGGUGGUUCAUGGUGGUUGGAAAAAUUGAUGUUGAUGGCAUUUUUGUAAAUAAGAAGAAAUGGUUAGGGUGUAUUUGAUUUUUUGUUAAUUUCGAAAUUAAUAAAAAAAAUAAAUAAAAAUGGCAAUUUUGUGAAUAAUUCAAAAACAUAAGGAUAGUAUGGAAAUUUUAUUGAUGAAUAGUAUGGACAAAAAAAAAAGGGUUGGUUUUGGAUUUGACUUGAAAAUAUGGGUUGGUUUUGAAAAACACCCCUUUUUAUUUUGUAUUAAUUAAAUUGAGACCCCAUAAAUUCAUCAUUUUUAUUUUUCAAGUCCUUGUAUAUUAAAUAUUCUCAUUUGUACUACUUUUUCGCCUGUAAUUAAUUUGUUACAUAGCAUUUUAAGAUUUUUGUUAUUGUUGUUCAAAAACUUAUCUAUACUAUCAUAUUGUAUAAUAUCCACUAGAAUGGAUUAUUAUAUAAUAAAACUAGGUGAUAACCCGGGCCCUGAGCGGAGCGAAGAGAUUAUUAGCGUAUUAUAAAUUUUAAUAUGUAGACAUAAUUAAAGUUAUAGGCAUAGUAAAAAAAAUAUAUGUAAGAAAGUACGAAUUAUAGCUAGAAAUUUUAGUAUGUCAAUAUAAAUUUAUAUGCGAUGGCCAUUAAAAUUAAAUUGUAUAUUUGUUUGCAUGCGGGUAAAUUAUAAAUAUAAUAUUAAAUGAAACAUAAGCAAUAGUCUAAUAAAAUAUAAAAAGAACAAUGUAUAAAAAAACAAAAUAAAAUUAAAAAUAGAGACAAAAUAACUGCUGCCAAACUGCAACCUUCAGAAGUCUUCGUUUGCAAUCCUAUUAUGAGCAGUAGCAAAGAGAUCAUCUAGAGAAUUUAAAAAUAUUAUUUAACAAAAUAUUUGAAUGCAUGUAUUACCUCAAUCGUAAAGCAUCAAUUUCUAGAACACCAAUGGAGUCGAAAACAAUUUUGGAAAUUCCAUCAAUGUUAGUAACCCUCUUAAGUCGGCCUUAUUAUGAAAUAUGAAAAAUAUUAAUGCUCCUCUUUAAUACCGUAUAUACCACUUACCUAAUUUUGUUAUUGCGUGAUGCGUUUUCGAUUUAAGAUCCGUGAUGGUCACGCCAGCAAUAAUUCAGGAAUAUUCUCCUUUCGAUUUAAGUAAGUACUUUGAUUAUUUGAAUUAUGUUUCCUUUUAUACGUUAAAAAUAUUAUUGUGUUUCCUUUAUAUUUUGACCAAUUAAGCGUAGGUAAUAAUUUGGAAUAUUGAGUUAGCAUCGAGCGAUUUGAAAUUCAAUUGUGUUUCCUUUCUUAUGAAUGUUUAUCCCUUUCUUAUGAAUGUUUAUAUAACGUUAUAUUAUAAUACGUGUUCCUAAAAUAAACAUAAAAUUGUUCAUAAAAUGAUUUCCCGUUUCUUUUGUUCAAGAAAUUUGAUAUUAGUUUAAAAAUAUUCAUAAAAAUGUUGCAUAGAAAUGUUCAUAAAAUGUUGACUCGGUUUCAAAAAUGUUGCAUUAUAAUACAAUUUGGUAUUAGUUAAAAAAAUGUUCAUAAAAUGUUGCAUUAUAAAGUAUAUUAACAAACCGUAAACAAAAAUAUUGAAGAAUUAUCGAAACCUAAAAUUCAUUUGAUAGAUGUCGAAAUUUAUUUGUUGCCUUUUUCAAUCGCGUUAAUAUGGUGCCUGUCAUAAAUUCCCGGUUUUUGUUUCAAAUCGGAUUGUAAUGCAUAUGUCACAAAACCGAUCGAGAUCUAAAUAAAUCAUAUUGUAUAAUGUAUAUGUCCAAUGGCAUUUGGUUGUAAUUAUUUUAGGUUACAAAGGGUUAUUUUAAAAAGCUAGUGAGAGUGCCUUAGGUGAUGACAUAUAGGAAAUUGCACUCAUGUAAUAAACACAUGAAGCCAAGGUUUAUUUCUAUGAAUGUUCCUCCUUAAUAAGAAAGAGAUUGAUAAAAUAAUGGUUUACUAAAUUUGUUUGUGUUCUCACAGUUUUACAUAUGUUUUGACAUAAUACUUUUUGUUAGCUGUUCACCAUGUUUUUCAUGUAAAAAUCAUUGAACAUUUUACAAAACUGAAAAUAUACACUAAUAUUUGGAAACUUUAAUAUGUAUUAAAAAAGAAGAAAAUAUACAUGACAAGUAAUUAAGAUAAAAUAAUAGGUUGGUAUCGUAUAAAUAACUCAUGUAGUUUGAAUUACUGUAUGAGGAUAUGAGCCAGGGGUAGGCGUUCGGAUACCCAUUCUGGUUCGGAUUGGGUAUUUCGGAUUUUUGGUUAUUUUAGUAUAGAAUCCGUUCGGGUUUUUCUGUACUUCGGGUCGGGUUUGGAUAGUUUUUGUUCGGGUUCGGAUCGGGUCGGAUAUUUAGAUUUUGAAUUUUUUUUAAAAAAAUUUCAUUUUUCAAAUUUCUUAUAUUUAAAAAUAUAACUUUCACUUAACUAUUUUUUUAUUUUUAAUUGAUUGAAUGGUUAAUAGAUUUGGACAUAAUAUUUUGAAACUAAAAAGACAUUAAUUUAGUUAUUAUUUUUAAAUUGGGUAGCAAAUUAUUUUCACUGUAAUUUUAUGUAUAUCAUAUAAAUUUAAAGUAUGUGUAAUAUUAAUAUAAACAUUUUAUAUAAAAUGAGAGAUGUAAACUAGAAAUAUAAGGUUAAUUAUACAUAUGUUCGGUUAUCUUGAGAUAUCCAUUCGGGUUCGGAUAUUACCCGUUCGGGUUCAGAUUUCAAACAUCUCCUAAUUUAAUACCUGUUUGGAUAUUUUGCUACUUCGGUUCGGAUUUCGGUUCAAUUUUUUCGGAUCGGGUUCGGGUACGGCUUCGAAUUUCGGGUAAAGUGUCCAUCCCUAAUAUGAGCUCUUUUAAUCCAAAUCUAGUAAGAGCGAAGAUACUAUUGACUACACAAUGAAGUACUAAAGACCAAGAAGCAUUACGAACCUAGUACAUCAUAGGUCACUAUAUUAGACUAACCCCCUCUCUAGGCAUUUAACUUGCACCAUAAUUAGUUAACUUUCAUUUACAAUCACAUGCAAUGUCAAACACGAAGUUGUAAUGAUUCCCAAAGUUUAGCUGGCUAACUCUAGGUCCUCUAAUCUAGACGAUGCGUUUCCCUUUCUUUCUUUUAUAUGGUAUCAGGUAAAUAUAUCGCAUGUAAAUUUAGGAGUUAAGACAUCAAAUUUGUAAUUAACUUUAAUGGAUUACUGAUGACAAUUCGUGAUUAACUUUUAAUAGAGGUGUCAAAUGGUUGGGCCGACCAAUGGUAGCCCGUGUCCAUAUAUAAAAUGGGCCUAAUAUGGAUAAACCCAUUUUUUCCAUGGGUUUUGAUUAGGCAUAAUUUGGGAAACCAUUUAAAAAAUGGUCAUUAUCGGGUUUGGGCUUUAUGGUCACGGACCGUCCAAUGAACAAAAAAAUCUAGGGUUUCAAUUUCAAAUCAAAAUUGUUUUGGGAAAAACGUCUCUCUCUCUCCCAAAGGCGAUUCUCUUCGAAGGCGAUUCCUCUCAUCUCGUCUCGUCCCGUCUCGUCCGUCGCCGACUCGCCGUCCCUCUCGUCUUGUCCGUCGUCGUCCCUCUCGUCUCGUCCGUCGCCGUCCCUCUCGUCUCGUCCGUUGCCGUCCCUCUCUGUCGCGUCCAUCGCCGUCUCCAACCGUCUCCCUCCGUCUCCCUCUCUCGUCUGGUAUGAUAUAGGUUUCGUUUGUGUUUUUUGAUUCAACUUAUUUGAGAUGGGUUUGAUGGGUUUUGCCAGUUGAAGCUUACUAACCCAUUGGCAUGUAUUGAUCUAUUUUUCAGGUUCCCCUGCCUCGCUUCUUCUUCCUCUCCUGCUCUCAGCUUCAGCGCUUGACUUAACAAAAGAGCUCUCUGUUUGUUGUUCUGUUCUUCUGCAUCACUAGACUGUAAGCUUCUCAUUUUACUGAGUUUAUGAUGUGCGAAACUAGAUCAGCUACUGAUAAGAGGUUGAGAGUCUUAUGAAAUAAUGUACGGAGAACAAGUUAUUAGAUUAGUGUUCAUCUAUUGUUCUGUCUUGAUUUAGAAUCGGUGAGGCGUAGAAGGAUUUACUUGUGCACCAUAUGUGUUAACUAGUUGAAUAUCUUUGUGUGAGUGACAGGCAUUGGAUGAAAAAGUGCUCAUUUAACUAAGACUGAUAGUUAAACUACUCUUGUUCUUACUAAGACUGAAUGUUUUUUCUUGUUUCAGGAUGGAUAACGAGGAUACAUUGAACUUGAAUGAUGAAGACUACAUGAGCGGGGACGAGCUAAUGGAUCAGAACUCAGCGGGAAAUGAUGAUGAAGCCGUAGGUGUGGAGAAUUCUCUCAUGAGCACAGCUGAAAACUGCGUCAAAAGAGGAGGUAAACGCAGAACUUCUAGAUGUUGGAAGCACUUUAGUAUAAUAGGAGAUAAGUAUCCGGAUGGUUCAAAUGACGUUCAAUGCAAAUUCUGCAAGCUUAACUACCAGAUAAAUCUGCGUAGGAAUGGAACCACAGGUCUAUUGCGUCAUAUGAAAGUUUGUAGCUUGAAUCCCGUCCCUGGCACACCUAGUACUAGGAACAUAGACCAGAUUAUCUUCCGUGAGAUGAUUGCAGUAGCUUUGAUCGAGCACAACUUGCCUUACUCCUUUGUUGAGUAUAGAAGAAUCAGGGAAGCAUGGCAUUAUUUGAAUCCGUCUGUCCAGUUCUGGUGCAGAAAUACAGCUGCUAGCGAUUGUUUGAAGAUAUAUGAGAGGGAGAAGCUGAAACUGAGACAGAAGCUAAAAGAGAUUCCAGGAAGGAUUUGCUUAACGACAGACUUGUGGAGAGCUCUUACGGUUGAAGGGUAUCUAUGUUUGACGGCGCAUUACAUAGAUAGAGAUUGGAGUCUAAAGUCGAGGAUUCUUGACUUCUGCGCAUUUCCUCCUCCUCAUACUGGUGGUGCCAUAGCAAUGAAGAUAAUGGAGUUGCUGAAAGAAUGGGAGCUGGAGAAAAAAGUCUUCACAAUCACCAUGGACAAUGCGUCAUCAAAUGAUAACAUGCAAUCCAUUCUCAAGAGGCAGCUACGAAGGGAACUGGUCUGCGGUGGAGAGUUCUUCCACGUGAGGUGUGUCGCUCACAUCUUGAACUUGAUAGUUCAAGAUGGCCUGAGUGUGAUUGUUGGAUCGUUGGAGAAGAUAAGAGAUAGUGUAAAGUUUGUCCAAGUGACAGAAUCUAGAGAGAAGCUCUUUCAAAGCUGUGUGGACAUGGUGGUUAUUGAUCCUAAAGAUAAAGAUAAAGGAUUGGUUAUGGAUGUAUCAACAAGAUGGAACUCCACUCAUCUUAUGCUAGACAGGGCCAUCAUUUACAGAGAAGCCUUCCGCCAUAUGUCUGAAAUUGAGGCUGCAUAUCAGAUCUGUCCAACUGAAGUGGAGUGGGAUAGAGCAGUGUUGAUCCGCGAUUUCUUAGCGCCGUUUGCUGAGAUGAUGAAUCUGAUUUCUGGCUCUUCGUAUCCAACAGCUAACGUGUAUUUUAUGCAAGUGUGGAGUAUCGAGAGCUGGCUGAAAGCGAAUCAGUUUAAUGAUGAUGAAGUCAUUAGUGAGAUGGUAGCUUCAAUGAAGCCUAAGUUUAGUAAGUACUGGGAGGAGUAUUCUGACAUCUUAGCCAUUGCUGCUGUUCUUGAUCCAAGACUCAAGUUGCCUUUCCUGGAAUACUGCUUCACAACGUUAGAUGCAUCCACAUGUAAGCUGAAGAUGGAUCACAUUAAGAAGAAGAUAAAGAAGGUCUUUGAUGUUUACAAGAAGAACACAAAGAAAAACAUGGUUGGAGCUUCAAGAUCAAAGCCUGCACAUACCACUUUACCAGGAUAUGAUGUAAGCUUUUUACUUACUGUUUUUAUUAAAGUCUGAAUGUUGAAUAAAUUUCCUUCAUUAAGGUCUGAUAGUUGAUUCCUUUCGGUUUUGCAGGGGUUUUGCGCUUUCAUAUCACAGAAUGCUGGUGGUAGUGCCACUAUUGGGAAAUCAGCCUUGGAUAAGUACCUAGAAGAACCGGUUAUAGACAUUAUGACCUUCCCGAGUUUGAAUGUUCUCUCCUAUUGGAGAGACAAUGCCAAUCGCUUUAAAGAGCUCUCAGCAAUGGCGUGUGAUGUUCUGAGCAUUCCUAUCACCACUGUUGCUUCAGAGUCUUCAUUCAGCAUUGGAAGCCGAGUUCUGAACAAGUAUAGAAGCUCUCUUCUCCCUUCCAAUGUUCAGCACUGAUUUGUACAAGAAAUUGGCUAAGGGGAUUUGAGUCCUUAGACAGUAAGUUCUUUGAUCAUUUGAAUUUGGUUAUCUUUCUACUUGAAACUGAUAAUCGAAUUUUCUUAGGUGAUGAAGUGAAUUUUGAACCUCUGGAGGAAGUUGGAGAAGAAGUUUAGUAAACAAGUCAAGUCUGAGACUCUGAGUUCAUGUGUAAGUGUGACGUUUUUCUCUAGUGUGUUUAAGGAAAGCGUGAGAAUGAGUUUAUGUACUAGUUUGAGUACCAUUUGCUACUUGCUAGGUUGUAGAGUUGAAACCGAAAUGGGUUUUUAGACUAAUGUAGACUAGUGUGGGCGUGAUUGUACUGCUGAUUGUAGACUAGUGUGGGCGUGAUUGUACUGCGUGAGAAUGAGUUUAUGUACUAGAAUGAGUUUAUAUACUAGUUUGAGUACCAUUUGCUUAAUGCUUAGUGCGUUUGUACUGCUGAUUGUUUAUGAUACUGGUUCUUAUAAUAAAUCACUUGUUUUGUAGGGUUUAUGGAUUUGGUGGAAGAUGUCAUGAAGGAGAACUUAUGUAUGCAAUUAUGUAUGGAGUUAUGAUGUUUUGAACUUAUGGUAUGAAAUUAUGCUAUUUAUGUGGUAUUUGAAUGAAUUUUAUAUUGUUGUACUUGUGGAUUUAUGAAUGAAUUUUAAUCUUAUGAACUUAUAUUUGUAUUAAUAGGUCUAUAGAUUAAAAUUCAAAAUUUUCAUAAAUGGUCAUUAAUGGGUCCCAUGACAGCCUAUGGGUUUUGAUGGAAUGGUCCUUAAUGGACAUGGUCCUUAAUGGACGUGGUCAAUUUCUGUCCACAAACUAUAAAUGGACAAACGGAUAUGGGCAAAUGGACAUGGACUUUCCCAUCUGACAGCUCUAACUUUUAAGGGAUGGGAUUACUGAUGACAAUGGUCAAGAGUUUUCAUGAACGAGCACACUUUUCUGAAUUGCACAAGAAUACACUAUUUUUCA
rnacentral:lncRNA from 1 species